ensembl:lncRNA
UUCUACUCCCAAGGUGCACUAUGCCAAGUAGUUUGCCAGUAAUCACUGUGUACAGUGGCUCGGUUCAAAUCUAGGCCAAAGUUCUACAUUUGUUAGAGUUUAGGAUCAGUAAUGGCAAAGCCUUAAGUCAAUAGUGGCGAUAUACCAUCCUGUUUGUGGAGGGGGAGAGGGAAGGAAAGUGAAGAGGAGUUGGGAGUUCUAGUUACUCAAACAUUGGUGGCUAAUAUUUAUGUCAAUCGAGAGUGUGGCGCUUAAGAAUGUGACCGGAUGAAAAACAAUCCAUAGACUGCAUUAGAAAUCGCAAGGGAUACAUAGUGAUACAUAGGUACUACACAGGGCGACGCAGGUAGUGUCAGCAUGUUGGUGGUGUGUGUUGCUGUGAUCUUCAGCCUGGUCUCGGUGAGUCAGACGGCUCCUUCUUCUCAAGACUGCGAGAAACUCCUCAAACCCCUGGACAUGGAGACCAAUGAUCUGUGAAAAAUGUCUCAGUUACAGUUUCAACAUGACUCUUGAAGACAACAAGCUUAGCUGGAUGUCCGGAGUGCCUUCCACUGCCAUUUUCCUGCCCACUUGUCCAGACUGUCUUUUGACCCAGACUACAACCUCCAUCAAUGGAAACACCUACAUCUCUCUGGAACUCUACAGUGAAAGAAGGGAACUCACUACUGAUGAACUCUCUCAGUUUAAAACACAGGUUGAAUGUCUCAAAAUGCCACCUGUGUAUUUCAUCAACACAACAACAGAGCUCUGUCCAGACUAUGUCGGAGUAGAACCCCAGAUGAAUUUCACACCCAACUUCUUCCGUGAAAUUCUGGACUUCAUGGAGAGAAAUAUUGUCAAGGUGUCGAUGAGAAUCAUUGAUUUCCUCAUCGAGAAGGGAGAGCACCAGGGUUUGUUAAGACCUGGAGAUGUCAGAGCCUCAGUUUUGAGCCUGUUGGAAUUAAUACGUUUUUUUGUAUUUAACUGAAGAUCUGUUUUAUGUUCUCAGUUGAAACCUUACAGUACAUCAUUUUAAUCUGCCCAAAUACUUUUGGAACCCUAAAAUAGGUGAACUAUGACCCACCCAUCAUUGUAUCAUUUUAAAUCCAAAGAUGCAAAAUAAAGCCUGAAAAUGUUUUAGUUCACUUUGACUUUCUAUUAAUAUAUAUAUAUAUAUAUGCAUUUUAUGUAUGAGGUGAGAUGAGAGAUAUGUAUGUCUACAUAAAACCAAAAUCAUAAUUAUUGUUGUAAUUAUUUAAUAUCUGUUAAAAAAAUAUAUGUAUAUAUACAUUUUUUACUGCGUUAAUACUCCUGUGUGUGUUAUCCCAGAGGAGCAGGACCUAAUGCCAAGACCUUGCAUGUACAGUACAUUGCUGUAAAUAAGUAAUCCAAUCAAUGGUUAAUCUAAUAUAUGGUGUUUUCAGUCUGAACUUGUUUUUGUUAAAAAAAAAAUUGGGUUCAACUGUGUUUUUAUGUUGCCCCAAUAACCAAUGAGUCGUACAAAUGCCAUGAAGCCUUUUUACCAGUUAAAACAACUGAAAAUGUGUUGUAAUCACAGUUGUAUAUAGAACAUUUACAUUUCCUCUGAUGACCAUCAAUAGAUAUCAGCCAAUAUAUGGAUGUAAUCUACAGCUCCAUUAGGUUGAUAUCAAACCUUUCUUUACGUCUAAUGAUUUUACAUUUCAAGGGACAUUAUACCUAUAUAAGCUACACUUUCUUGUUCAGAUGGGGUGAGAGGAUUUUGGCUUUGUGAC